rnacentral:tRNA from 1 species
UGCUCCGUAGCUCAAUCGGCAGAGCACUGGUUUCUGGUACCAGGGGCUGAAGGUUCGAAUCCUUCCGGAGCAGCCG